rnacentral:tRNA from 1 species
GCCUUCGUAGUGUAGUGGUCAGCACACUCGGCCUGUAUUCGAGCGCUCCGUGGUUCGAGUCCCGGUCAGGACA